rnacentral:rRNA from 1 species
GACGAACGCUGGCGGCGUGCUUAACACAUGCAAGUCGAACGGAAAGGCCCUGCUUUUGUGGGGUGCUCGAGUGGCGAACGGAUGAGUAACACGUGAGUAACCUGCCCUUGACUUUGGGAUAACUUCAGGAAACUGGGGCUAAUACCGGAUAGGAGCUCCUGCUGCAUGGUGGGGGUUGGAAAGUUUCGGCGGUUGGGGAUGGACUCGCGGGUUAUCAGCUUGUUGGUGGGGUAGUGGCUUACCAAGGCUUUGACGGGUAGCCGGCCUGAGAGGGUGACCGGCCACAUUGGGACUGAGAUACGGCCCAGACUCCUACGGGAGGCAGCAGUGGGGAAUAUUGCACAAUGGGCGGAAGCCUGAUGCAGCAACGCCGCGUGCGGGAUGACGGCCUUCGGGUUGUAAACCGCUUUCGCCUGUGACGAAGCGUGAGUGACGGUAAUGGGUAAAGAAGCACCGGCUAACUACGUG